rnacentral:lncRNA from 1 species
AAACGGAAGCAGAAAAAAAAAAAAAAAAAAAAACUAAAAAAAGAAGAGUGUAAAAGCCUUUAUUAAAGCAUAAGCAAGUACCUUUUCUGCGUUGCCUUAGAGCGCAUGUAACUCCCAAGUACUCCAAUCUCUCAAGUUAUUUCUAAUCCCUAACUUUGUUUGACAUUAAUAAGAUGAUGAACUAUACGAAUGCUGAUCGUCGACACUCGCUACCACCACCUGCAAUAUCGCGAGAGGAAACUUUAAGCUUACGUGCCUCGAUCGAAAAGUUUUAUAAUUAAGAUGCAGAAAAAUAGUAUGAAUAUAUAAGCAAGGAGAAAUUAAGAGACCAAGAUAUAGAAUUUGGUUUAAGUGGUGGACAUAGGUCAUACUCAAUAGUACAUGCAUGUAACUGAAAAACGUAACAUCAAGCGGUUGAGGGUCUUCCUUUUCUUUUCUUUUUUUUUUCUUUUUUUUUCUUUUCCUUUUUGGAAUAAGAGUUAGGUUAAUGUGGACUCCAAAUGGUGCCAACUCAUUGCAAAACCAACUUUGACUAAGUUUCCUUUUUUUAGGACUAUAGAGAUUAAAAUGCUAGCUUAAGGAGAAAGCAAAAAAACUGAAAAAGGCCAGGAAAUAAGUAAUUAACCAAAGCAAGGAGGUUAAGGAAUUUGUUAUGUUAAUUUAAGCAUUUGUCAAGCUCUUGUUCAUCUUAGGAGGACAUUGAAUUUAGGAAAGGAAAAAGAGUUUUCGAAAUAAGAAAAUUAAUGAUAACAAAAAACUUGAGAUCAGAUCAUGAAGCCAAUCUAAGUUUUUGAAAAGAAAAAACUUGGUAAAAUAUAUUUGACCAGUAAUGUGUGUCAUAUAUUAUUUGAUUCUGUAAUUUAAAUAGCAUUAAAAAAGUUAAAUACCAGUGAAAAAGGAUUAAUCAUAUUACUCAUGCAUGGAGAAAAACAAAUUUCAGUUCAAUGAUCAUUUAAUUUAAAUUCUCCUGUUGUCAUGCAUAUAUAAUGCGCUUAAGAUCGAAGCCCAAUGUCUUUUCAAAUGAACUCCAUCUAAAAUGCAUUUCAUAAUUUUCACUAAAAAAUCAAAAUCCAAAAUCAAAAGCUCCAUUCAAAAGAAAAAGAAACAAGUAUCAAAAGAAAAAAGAAAAGGAAAAGAAUUGUAUAUAUAUAUAUAUAUAUAUAUAUAUAUAUAACUCAAGUAAAAAAUAAUUAAUGUAAGUAAGCGAACUCACCAAAAUUAAAAAUUUCCUUCAAAUCCCUUCACCACCAUGGACCAAAGAUAAGGGAUUUAAACAGAGAGAAAAUAAUUAACAUUAAAAUCAUAAUAUUUUUAUAUAGAAAGGAUAUAUUGGUUUAGCGUGGAAGGUAUGACGAAGGAAACUCCAUCUCCUUAAGAGGAGGAGAUGGAGAUCUACAACGAGAAAGGGAAGGGUUUGGGAAACGUUUCGAAGCGUAGAAGAGUUUC